rnacentral:lncRNA from 1 species
AUGACCCCAGCUGCUGUGCACAGAGAGCCUCCCACCUUCCCAAAGCUGGAUUCCUCUAUUUGGCAUCCAGGAGCCUUUUCGCAAGCUUCAGAAAAGACUUGGCACACAGUACAUGUGGAAAAGAGAAGGGGAAGAAAAAAGCAAGAAAAAAGGAAAGAAAAAAAGCAUAUGUCCCUUUGAUUGUUUCUAAGGCAACAGACAAAGUGCAACUACAAAUCAUACUUUUGGACUUGUUGAC